rnacentral:rRNA from 1 species
AUGUUGGCAUUUAGAGAGGUACUGGAGGUGUGUGACCUUAUUGAUUUGGGGUUCUCUGGGCUCCCCCAUACAUAUGAUAAUAAAAGGCAUGGUAACUGGAAUGUUAAGGUCCGGCUGGACCGGGUUGUUGCUGACAAUAGUUGGCGCGACAUAUUCACCGAAGCUCGCGUGGUGCAUCAAGUGAGCCCAUGUUCGGAUCAUUGUCCUAUUGUACUGAGAUGUGAUAAAGAAGAGCAACGCCAGGGACCGAGGCAAAAACAAUACGAAGUAAUGUGGGAGAGGGAUGCAAGCUUACCGGAAAGGGUUCAACAGGCGUGGGCGCGUGCUGGUGCAAAACAGAACUUGGGUGAUGUUCGGUGUAGUCUUACUGCCCUCAUGGCAGAGCUUCAGGUUUGGAGUAAAGAGACCUUUGGGAGCGUGGCCCGUGAACUUGAAAAAUCGAGGACCCAGCUGGAGGAACUUAUGGCGAUGAAUGCGGAUAGGAGGGAGAUAAGACGUGUGGAGGAUCACAUGAACGAGCUGUUGUACCGAGAGGAACUCAUGUGGCUGCAACGAUCACAUAUUGACUGGCUUCGAGAUGGUGAUAGAAAUACGAAAUUAUUUCAUCGUAAAGCUGUUUGGAGAGCGCAAAAAAACAAAGAACGCUGCCUAGUUGAUGACGCUGGUGACAAAUAA